CUUGUUUACUGUUUAUUUAAAGAACAUAUUUUAAUUCUGAAUUUUACAGUUUUGUAUGGAAGUAUGAUACAUGCAAGAGGAAAUGUUAUGGGGAAAAAAAUAAGCUCCAAGAGAUUUGAGUAACUCAUAGAUCCUCUGUGUGCCAGUGUGUACCUCCUUGCAGCAUCUGGACUGGUGUAAAUCGUGAGCUGUGCUGCAAUACUUUCUCCAUUCCAAAACCAGUAAAAGUCAACAGUUCCCAUAAGGAAUCCUUAAAGCAUUUUACAAACUGUGUAGCACAUAAUACGAUUUUGAAAGGAAAAAAAGAAGGAAAAUAUUCCUGGCUGCAGUUGGUGAGAGUUGAGGAUGUGUCAAUGGCAAAGUGCAACACAACUGUACAAGAACUGAAAUUGGAGGGGCAAUGGUGUAUUACUAAAGGUAAUACAUAUUCUCUUUCUUUCAGUUUUAGUACCUGUUGCUCCUCUCUAUAUUUCUUUACUUCUGUAGAAGACCUGUUUCUAAUUUGUAGGAUUCAUUGGUACUGUUAAGGAGGUGGCAGCUCUUCCUUCAGUGUUGUUAUAAGGGCUAAGCUUUGCAUGUCUGCAGGGGAGAGCAGGACAAGUUUAAGGAAUAGAAAUGCAUAAAUACUUGCUAAAUACUUAGAAGCUACUUGUGGCUCAGAAAUGUCAUGAGCUGAAAAUAGGUAGAGGGUGAGAAAAUGUUAGGAGAAUGUGCCAUAUAUUCUUGCCCUAUUAUUCUUUAGGUGCUCUUAGACAUUGCAGCAAUCAGGUUAAUCAGUUAGAUGGACCUUUGGCCUGGCUUCUCAGUAUAAAUUGUGACUCAUUUAUCUUGAAACAUGAAAUUAAGCCAUAUAUUUAAGCUUCUUCAUUGUUAGGCUUUCUACAUUGACGCCCAAAGGAACUCUUCAACAAUAUAGCACAUCCAGUAUAAUCCUGUUUGGGACAGCAGUAUAGCAGAUGCUUUUAAACUGGAAAAAUAAAAAAUAAAAAAGUAUGGGAAAUAGCA
rnacentral:lncRNA from 1 species